GAUGUGACUGCGCUCUGGCUGUGACAUCUGUCACCCCAUUGAUCGCCAGGGUUGAUUCGGCUGAUCUUGCUGGCUAGGCAGGUGUCCCCUUCCUCCCUCACUGCUACAUCUGCGUCCCUCCCGAAGCUGCGCACUAGGUGAAGCUGCGCACUAGGUCGAAGAGAACGACCUUCCCCCAAUAGAGGAGGACCGGUCUUCGGUCAAGGGUAUAUGAGUAGCUGUGCUACCCUGCUAGAACCGCCAAACAAGCUCACGGGUGCAUAUUACUUUUAGCUUCAGAAGUUAUCAUGUAUAUUAAAGAGGCAUUUAACUAUUAUAAAUUAUUU
ensembl:misc_RNA Gm25844 predicted gene, 25844